rnacentral:lncRNA from 1 species
GGCCUUAGCGCGCGCUGUAGAAGGCAAGACGCACGCUACAGCAACUUCGGCCGUCCCGGCGCCGCGGCUUUGGAGCCAAGUGGAAAUCGUAGAAGUGCACACAAAGAAGAACGGUUGGUCGCCUUGUAAGUGUAGAUCGCGGCGCGGCGGCGGCAGCGGGGGUGGCAGCGCCAUUGGGGAAGUCGAGGUGGUUUACGUUGUGGCUUCCUCAACUAUGUUUGUCUUCUCCGCCCGUCACCGCAGGAACUCUGGACGUUCUCUCUUUGGUGUGCUCGCAUGCCACGGACUGUGUGCGACGCAUUUGCAGCCAUGUCUCAUUGUAAAACAGGUUGAUUUAAUUUGAAGACACACCGCUUUCUCCCUGCAUAAUCGCAGCAGGUGAUGACAUCUGGAUGCCUGAAAAGUACCUAUUACUUGUUGAUCGCCAUGCUGUGGCAGCAGCAAAGACGUUCAAGCAAGCAUUCUGCAUGCUGGUUGCAGCUUACUUCUGCUUCCACAUUUGUUAUGCAGAGAAGGCGUCGUACACAC